AUUCGGUUCGUGGUUCAUAAGUUAACUGUUGUAAGGUGAUUCGGUUCGUGGUUCAUAAGUUAACUGUUGUAAGGUGAUUCGGUUCGUGGUUCAUAAGUUAACUGUUGUAAGGUGAUUCGGUUCGUGGUUCAUAAGUUAACUGUUGUAAGGUGAUUCGGUUCGUGGUUCAUAAGUUAACUGUUGUAAGGUGAUUCGGUUCGUGGUUCAUAAGUUAACUGUUGUAAGGUGAUUCGGUUCGUGGUUCAUAAGUUAACUGUUGUAAGGUGAUUCGGUUCGUGGUUCAUAAGUUAACUGUUGUAAGGUGAUUCGGUUCGUGGUUCAUAAGUUAACUGUUGUAAGGUGAUUCGGUUCGUGGUUCAUAAGUUAACUGUUGUAAGGUGAUUCGGUUCGUGGUUCAUAAGUUAACUGUUGUAAGGUGAUUCGGUUCGUGGUUCAUAAGUUAACUGUUGUAAGGUGAUUCGGUUCGUGGUUCAUAAGUUAACUGUUGUAAGGUGAUUCGGUUCGUGGUUCAUAAGUUAACUGUUGUAAGGUGAUUCGGUUCGUGGUUCAUAAGUUAACUGUUGUAAGGUGAUUCGGUUCGUGGUUCAUAAGUUAACUGUUGUAAGGUGAUUCGGUUCGUGGUUCAUAAGUUAACUGUUGUAAGGUGAUUCGGUUCGUGGUUCAUAAGUUAACUGUUGUAAGGUGAUUCGGUUCGUGGUUCAUAAGUUAACUGUUGUAAGGUGAUUCGGUUCGUGGUUCAUAAGUUAACUGUUGUAAGGUGAUUCGGUUCGUGGUUCAUAAGUUAACUGUUGUAAGGUGAUUCGGUUCGUGGUUCAUAAGUUAACUGUUGUAAGGUGAUUCGGUUCGUGGUUCAUAAGUUAACUGUUGUAAGGUGAUUCGGUUCGUGGUUCAUAAGUUAACUGUUGUAAGGUGAUUCGGU